AUUAUGUACUUUGCUCAAAUGUUGAUCAAAUGAUAUUGAUAUAAUUUUAUAAAUUCCGAAGUGCUAUUUACACCUGUUGCUGAGGAUAGGCAUAUAAUGAAAUUCUCUGGUAACUGAGUGGUCCAGGAAAGCAAUUGCUUGGUGACAUUCUGAGAGCCAUUUAGAAGGCCCCAUUUCUAUUUGCUGUUCUCUCUGGCUACUUGUAUCAGACACUUGUCUCCUCAAAUUUAUUUUUUCUUUCUUUUUUUAGUAUUAGACUCCUUCUGAAUUUUAGCAGAGCACAUGGUUGUUCAUAAAAAUAGACUGAAUUUUACAGGUGACCUAUGGCUGCAUGUGGCCAUGUGGCCAAAUUUCACCCAAUGGAAGUUGGAGCAAUAUGUUUUUCGGCCUGUAGAGGCACUGCUGGGCUGCCUUGGAUUCAGUCAGGUUGCUGGGUCGGUGGUCUUCCCCUGGAGUUUGUUUGCAGGCGUGGCGCGUACCCCCAACUAAUGUCACAAAGGUGUGCUGUUGAACAAAAGAAGGAAGCAGAUGAGAAGCUAUGGAAGGCUCUAGAGCAUUUGGGAGGGAGAGGCAGCAGGUAAAGAAUGGAAAAUGGCUCAAUAUGAUUUCAAUAUACAAACCUCCUCCUG
rnacentral:lncRNA from 1 species